UCGAGCGAUGAUGCUCCUUCGGGAGUCAUCAGCGGCGAACGGGUGAGUAACACGUGGGUGACUUGCCCCGAAGAUGGGGAUAACCUCUGGAAACGGGGGCUAAUACCCAAUGUGCUCGGUGAUUCGGUUCAUCGAGUAAAGCUCCGGCGCUUCGGGAGAGGCCUGCGGCCCAUCAGCUAGUUGGUAGGGUAACGGGCUACCAAGGCAGAGACGGGUAGGGGGCGUGAGAGCGCGGACCCCCACACUGGCACUGAGAUACGGGCCAGACUCCUACGGGAGGCAGCAGUAAGGGAUAUUGCGCAAUGGACGAAAGUCAGACGCAGCGACGCCGCGUGGGCGAUGAAGGCCUUCGGGUUGUAAAGCCCUUUUAUGGGGGAAGAGAAAAAGGACGGUACCCCAGGAAUAAGUCCCGGCUAACUACGUGCCAGCAGCCGCGGUAAAACGUAGGGGACAAGCGUUAUCCGGAUUCACUGGGCGUAAAGAGCGUUGAGGCGGUUCCGUAAGUUGGGCGUGAAAGCUCCGGGCUUAACUCGGAGAUGUCGUUCAAUUACUGCGGGGCUUGAGGACAGCAGAGGAAGGUGGAAUUCCCGGUGUAGUGGUGACAUGCGUAGAUAUCGGGAGGAACACCCGUGGCGAAGGCGGCAUUCUGGGCUGUUCCUGACGCUGAAGGCGAAAGCUAGGGGAGCGAACGGGAUUAGAUACCCCGGUAGUCCUAGCUGUAAACGAUGGAUGCUGGGUGUGGGGGGUGUAAAUUCCCUCUGUGCCGAAGCAAACGCGUUAAGCAUCCCGCCUGGGGACUACGGCCGCAAGGCUAAAACUCAAACGAAUUGACGGGGGCCCGCACAAGCAGCGGAGCGUGUGGUUUAAUUCGAUGCUACACGAAGAACCUUACCUGGGUUUGACAUGCACGUGGUAGGGAACCGAAAGGGGACCGACCUUCGGGAGCGUGCACAGGUGCUGCAUGGCUGUCGUCAGCUCGUGCCGUGAGGUGUCGGGUUAAGUCCCGUAACGAGCGCAACCCUUGCCCUUAGUUACAAGUGUCUAAGGGGACUGCCCGGGACAACUGGGAGGAAGGUGGGGAUGACGUCAAGUCAGCAUGGCCUUUAUAUCCAGGGCUACACACACGCUACAAUGGCCGGUACAAUAGGUUGCGAAGUCGUGA
rnacentral:rRNA from 1 species